AGAUCGGGUUUUCCCAGGGCAUGGAAAGGACAGGGCUCCCAGUGGAGAUAUCAUGUAGCUAUAGGGCCUAGAAGUAUUUUUUCAGUAGAUGAAAUUUAGAAAUAAUUUGAAUAUUUUAUGCUGGGGAGGUAGCUUGUGGAGUGAAAUGGUCGGGUAAAGGAAACACUGAGUUCAAGUGCUUCUUUAUAAAGGACACUUAACUGAUCUAAAUAUUUGUCAAGCUGAAUCGCUACAUCCACUCUCACCUGCCUGAAAUCAAUAUGCUCAAGUCAAACGCAUUUGCCUGCAUCUGAAUGUGGAGAAUGAACUUCUUAAAGCUGAACUGGCAGCUGGAAGGGGAGAGAGAAGAGCUGGACAGGGAGCCAGGACACCGGAGUUCUUUUCCACUGUGGUGGGAUCUGGAAGAAGCUGUUGAAUCUCUGUAGAGUUAGCUUUUAAAUGCUGUGAGUCUUUGGAAAGCUGUGCGAAUAACUGCUAAACACCCAGGACAGCUUAUGCAUUUUUUGAAAAAGGUUCCUGGUGCUGGUUCCAGCAGAAUAGACACAGAGAUGCAUGGCCUAACUCCCACUCCCUCUUCAGGACUGAGCCACGCAGCCCCCCAUCUGCCAGAAGUGUUAGCUGUUGACGGCUCACAGCUGAGUCCCUCUCCAGGCAUUGCUGAAAAGAGCCACCUUGCUCUAGGAUGUGCCCCCACCCUGGGGGCAGCAUACAUUCCAAGUGAUUAGUCCAUAGUGUGGUACAAAGGUUGUACCCAUCUUGCCUGAAUUCAGGAUCUCUUGGAAAACCACCCCAGCUCUGCAGCUCCUGGUGGGGUGCUGAGGCCUCUGCUGCAGCUGCAUCGCAGUUUACUUUCCCCUCUGCCUAGUCCUGCUGCCUUCACUCCCCAACAGUUCCUCCAUAGUACCAUGCCCAGGUGGCACCAUGCGAGAUACAGAGCAUCUCUGUACGCACUCUGACUCCUGACUUGAAAUGUGCCUCUUGGUGCUGAAUCCCAU
rnacentral:lncRNA from 10 species